rnacentral:rRNA from 1 species
UACGUAGGAUGCAAGCGUUGUCCGGAUUUACUGGGCGUAAAGCGCGCGCAGGCGGCACUCUAAGUACGUCGUGAAAUAUCCCGGCUCAACCGGGAGGGUGCGAUGUAGACUAGGGAGCUAGAGGUCGGUAGAGGGGGGUGGAAUUGCUGGUGUAGCGGUGAAAUGCGCAGAUAUCAGGAGGAACACCGGUGGCGAAGGCGGUUCUCUGGGCCUGUACUGACGCUGAGGAGCGAAAGCGUGGGGAGCGAACAGG